GAUGAACGCUGACAGAAUGCUUAACACAUGCAAGUCAACUGUGGCGGACGGGUGAGUAACGCGUAAAGAACUUGCCUCACAGAUAGGGACAACAUUUGGAAACGAAUGCUAAUACCUGAUACUGUGAGAGAGCUUUGCGUCCCAUUAGCUAGUUGGAGAGGUAACGGCUCACCAAGGCGAUGAUGGGUAGCCGGCCUGAGAGUGUGAUCGGCCACACGGGGCCGGAGACACGGCCCUUACUCCGGCGUGAGGCAGCAGUGGGGAUUAUUGUACAAUGGACCAAAGUCUGAUCCAGCAAUUCUGUGUGCACGAUGAAGUUUUCGGAAUGUAAAGUGCUUUCAGUUGGGAAGCGGUACCAACAGAAGAAGUGACGGCUAACUACGUGCCAGCAGCCGCGGUAAUAC
rnacentral:rRNA from 1 species